rnacentral:rRNA from 1 species
AUUGAACGCUGGCGGAAUGCUUUACACAUGCAAGUCGAACGGCAGCACGGACUUCGGUCUGGUGGCGAGUGGCGAACGGGUGAGUAAUGUAUCGGAACGUGCCCAGUCGUGGGGGAUAACGUAGUGAAAAUUACGCUAAUACCGCAUACGAUCUAUGGAAGAAAGCGGGGGAUCGCAAGACCUCGCGCGAUUGGAGCGGCCGAUAUCAGAUUAGGUAGUUGGUGGGGUAAAGGCCCACCACGCCAACGAUAUGUAGAUGGUCUGAGAGGACGACCAGUCAAACUGGAACUGAGACACGGUCCAGACUCCUACGCGAGGCAGCAGUGGGGAAUUUUGGACAAUGGGCGAAAGCGUGAUCCAUGCAUUCCGCGUGCAGGAUGAAGGCCCUCCGGUUGUAAACUGCUUUUGUACAGAACGAAAAGGUUUCUACUAAUACUAGGAGCUCAUGACGGUACUGUAAGAAUAAGCACCGGCUAACUACGUGCCAGCCGCCGCAGUAA